AGGAGGACCAGCGUCCCACCGGCGAACACACACAGCAGCACCAGCAGCAGGACAUAGUUCUCCUGAGAGCCAGACGCCAGCGAGACAUGAGGAACCACAACAGACCAUCAUGCCAUGAACUCCAUCUACAGCCUUUCUGUAGCUCAAAUCAUGGCGCUCUCAACGCAAAGGUCACGGGUUCGAUCCCCAGAGAAAAAUGAACUUGGGAAGAAACAGAUUUUCUCUCACUGAGUUUCCAAACAGAGAAAUGCCAGAAGAGACAGAAAACACUUGGUCUGCAGUUUCUCACACUGAUGUUCUGCAGGAAAACGGCAAAAACAGCGGCUUCAUUAUCAGAUGGUGAGGCGCGUCUGUAACGGAGACUCAUCACUCAUGGUCUGAAAGCGUGUGUGAGACGCCUGUGAGAAACACAA